UACAGAGGGUGCGAGCGUUAAUCGGAAUUACUGGGCGUAAAGCGCACGUAGGCGGCUUGGUAUGUCGGGUGUGAAAUCCCCGGGCUCAACCUGGGAACUGCAUCCGAAACUGCCUUGCUAGAGUAUGGGAGAGGGAAGUGGAAUUUCCGGUGUAGCGGUGAAAUGCGUAGAUAUCUGGAGGAACACCGGUGGCGAAGGCGGCGUUCUGGACUGCAACUGACACUGAAAAACGAAAGCCAGGGGAGCAAACGGG
rnacentral:rRNA from 1 species